UACGUAGGGGGCUAGCGUUGUUCGGAAUUACUGGGCGUAAAGCGCGCGUAGGCGGUGAUCUUUGUCAGAGGUGAAAGCCCGGGGCUCAACUCCGGAAUUGCCUUUGAAACGGGAUUGCUUGAGUCCGAGAGAGGAUGGCGGAAUUCCUAGUGUAGAGGUGAAAUUCGUAGAUAUUAGGAAGAACACCGGUGGCGAAGGCGGCCAUCUGGCUCGGUACUGACGCUCAGGCGCGAAAGCGUGGGGAGCAAACAGG
rnacentral:rRNA from 1 species